rnacentral:rRNA from 1 species
CCUACGGGUGGCUGCAGUGGGGAAUAUUGCACAAUGGGGGAAACCCUGAUGCAGCGACGCCGCGUGAAGGAAGAAGUAUUUCGGUAUGUAAACUUCUAUCAGCAGGGAAGAAAAUGACGGUACCUGACUAAGAAGCCCCGGCUAACUACGUGCCAGCAGCCGCGGUAAUACGUAGGGGGCAAGCGUUAUCCGGAUUUACUGGGUGUAACGGGAGCGUAGGCGGCGAUGCAAGUCAGAAGUGAAAGCCCGGGGUUCAACUCCGGGACUGCUUUUGAAACUGUAUGGCUAGAGUGCAGGAGAGGGAAGUGGAAUUCCUAGUGUAGCGGUGAAAUGCGUAGAAAUUAGGAGGAACACCAGUGGCGAAGGCGGCUUGCUGGACUGUAAAUGACGCUGAGGCUCGAAAGCGUGGGGAGCAAACAGGAUUAGAUACCCCUGUAGUC